rnacentral:rRNA from 1 species
AUUGAACGCUGGCGGCAGGCCUAACACAUGCAAGUCGAGCGGAUGAAGGGAGCUUGCUCCUGGAUUCAGCGGCGGACGGGUGAGUAAUGCCUAGGAAUCUGCCUGGUAUUGGGGGAUAACGUCCGGAAACGGGCGCUAAUACCGCCUACGUCCUGAGGGUGAAAGUGGGGGAUCUUCGGACCUCACGCUAUCAGAUGAGCCUAGGUCGGAUUAGCUAGUUGGUGGGGUAAAGGCCUACCAAGCCGGCGAUCCGUAACUGGUCUGAGAGGAUGAUCAGUCACACUGGAGCUGAGACAGGGUCCAGGGUCCUACGGGAGGCAGCAGUGGGGAAUGUUGGGCAAUGGGCGAAAGCCUGAUCCAGCGAUGCCGCGUGUGUGGAGAAGGUCCUCGGAUUGUAAAGCACUUUUAGUUGGGAGGAAGGGCAGUAAGUUGAUACCUUGCGGUUUUGACGGUACCAACAGAAUAAGCACCGGCUAACUUCGUG